rnacentral:rRNA from 1 species
GACGAACGCUGGCGGCGUGCCUAAUACAUGCAAGUUGAGCGAUGAAGAUUGGUGCUUGCACCAAUUUGAAGAGCAGCGAACGGGUGAGUAACGCGUGGGGAAUCUGCCUUUGAGCGGGGGACAACAUUUGGAAACGAAUGCUAAUACCGCAUAAUAACUUUAAACAUAAGUUUUAAGUUUGAAAGAUGCAAUUGCAUCACUCAAAGAUGAUCCCGCGUUGUAUUAGCUAGUUGGUGAGGUAAAGGCUCACCAAGGCGAUGAUACAUAGCCGACCUGAGAGGGUGAUCGGCCAAAUUGGGACUGAGACACGGCCCAAACUCCUACGGGAGGCAGCAGUAGGGAAUCUUCGGCAAUGGACGAAAGUCUGACCGAGCAACGCCGCGUGAGUGAAGAAGGUUUUCGGAUCGUAAAACUCUGUUGGUAGAGAAGAACGUUGGUGAGAGUGGAAAGCUCAUCAAGUGACGUUAACUACCCAGAAAGGGACGGCUAACUACGUG